rnacentral:sRNA from 1 species
CGCAGAAUCAGAGGUGAACGUGCGUAA